rnacentral:misc_RNA from 1 species
AAGUCGUAACAAGGUUUCCGUAGGUGAACCUGCGGAAGGAUCAUUAUGAAUCAGUAGCUUGCUACUGUACUGGGGGAGAUGGGAAAGUCCUAGCCGAAAAGCUAGUGUACCGGUACCUGCACCUCCUAUCAUACCCUUGCCUUUUGAGUACUUAUGUUUCCUUGGUAGGCUUGCCUGCCAAAAGGACAAACUUUUAAACCUUUGUAUAUAUAAUCAGCGUCUGAAAAUAAAUUAAUAAUUACAACUUUCAACAACGGAUCUCUUGGUUCUG